UACGUAGGGUGCAAGCGUUGUCCGGAAUUAUUGGGCGUAAAGGGCUCGUAGGCGGUCCAUCGCGUCGGGAGUGAAAAGCUGGGGCUCAACCCCAGUCCUGCUUUCGAUACGGGUGGACUAGAGGUAGGCAGGGGAGAACGGAAUUCCUGGUGUAGCGGUGAAAUGCGUAGAUAUCGAGAGGAACACCUGCGGCGAAGGCGGGUUGCUGGGCUGACACUGACGCUGAGGCGCGAAAGCUAGGGGAGCGAACGGG
rnacentral:rRNA from 1 species